AAACAAAGUUGAAAUAUUGAUGGUUUCUUUUGUAAAAAUUUACCAUUUUUACGGUAGGCCUUAAGAGGAGCCAAAACUCCUUCGAAUAGCGUAAUUGGUACUACGAUUUGGCCUAAUUAAGAAUCAAAUUUACACAAACCAUCAGAUUUGGCAAAACCCAUAGACAGACCAGACAGUUUGACCCCCUUCCUGGAGUCCAAAACGAACCAGAACCGCCAUGGUGGCGUGGACAAUAACCAGAAGAAAACGAUUCCGUGCCAGGACGGUAAAAUUUCUUCAAGGGAACGGUUAGUCAACGGAUUUGAACGGAAUCGGUGCGGGCUCUUUCGGAUACGGACAAGCAAGAACGGAAACAAGCAAGAAUGCCGAGAACCGAACGGAGACGGAUAUGGACCAUGUUGCCCAAAACACAAGGCAGACGAUCUAGCCGUCCACGAUCUCCACCAGGUCCACGCACCGCUUGAACUCCAACCCGGAGCAUUUGAGAUCGUUUGUCUGCGGGCCAGCUACGGCACCCAUCGGCCGCGUAAGCUGAAAACGAUUAAUCUGGUCGCGCUGAAGCGUGGUAAAGGUGGAGAGAAAUCAGGGGCUCGUCAUCACAGGUUCAUUAGGAUUCAACGUUUGUUGCAAGCUGGGCAAGAUCGAUUCCAGGAUAAACACUUGGACCAGCGAUAGGCGCGAAUUGCAAAUCAAUCCAAGAUUCGGUUCAAGAUGUGCAGCAAAUUCUUGAAGCGAGUACGGCUAGAAGGUCGGUCACGAGAAAUUCCAGACGCGAUCGUACUUCGUCGCUCGGCAAUGCUCGGUCUGAAUGGAUCGCCUCCUCUGGAAUGAAAACUUCCAAGGGGUAAUUGCUGGCGCUGAAUGAUUUUGUGUUGACAAAAUAGUAGGUGAGUACCAUUCCGUAUUUUUAAAAUCACCAUAAAG